GAAAUGCGAUAAGUAAUGUGAAUUGCAGAAUUCAGUGAAUCAUCGAAUCUUUGAACGCACCUUGCACCCUUUGGUAUUCCGAAGGGUAUGCCUGUUUGAGUGUCAUUAAAUUCUCAACCAUUGAACUUGUUUCUUUGGCUUGGAUGUGGGGGUUGCCGGCUUUGCAAAGAAGUCGGCUCUCCUUAAAUGCAUUAGUGGAAACCGCUUGCAGGAUUCAUUCACUUUUUGGCGUGAUAGUAUCGUCGUCAUAAAGGUCAUGUCUCCGAGGUAUCUGCUCUCUAACUGUCCGAAAGGACUCUUAAUGACUUGUUUGACCUCAAAUCAGGUAGGACUACCCGCUGAACUUAA
rnacentral:misc_RNA from 1 species